GAGGAUAUAGCUUAGUGGUAGAGCAUGUGCUUAGCAUGCACGAGGUCCUGGGUUCAAUCCCCAGUAGCUCCA
rnacentral:tRNA from 1 species